rnacentral:rRNA from 1 species
GGAGUUAGCCGGUGCUUCUUCUGCGAGUAACGUCACAGAUGUAAGGUAUUAACUUACACCCUUUCCUCCUCGCUGAAAGUGCUUUACAACCCGAAGGCCUUCUUCAUACACGCGGCAUGGCUGCAUCAGGGUUUCCCCCAUUGUGCAAUAUUCCCCACUGCUGCCUCCCGUAGGAGUCUGGGCCGUGUCUCAGUCCCAGUGUGGCUGAUCAUCCUCUCAGACCAGCUAGGGAUCGUCGCCUAGGUGAGCCUUUACCUCACCUACUAGCUAAUCCCACCUGGGCUUAUCCAUCAGCGCAAGGCCCGAAGGUCCCCUGCUUUCCCCCGUAGGGCGUAUGCGGUAUUAGCAGUCGUUUCCAACUGUUAUCCCCCACAAAUGGGCAAAUUCCCAGGCAUUACUCACCCGUCCGCCGCUCGUCAUCUUCAAAAGCAAGCUUUUGAAAUGUUACCGCUCGACUUGCAUGUGUUAGGCCUGCCGCCAGCGUUCAAUCUGAGCCAUAAUCAAACUCUGA